rnacentral:rRNA from 1 species
UGGGGAAUCUUGCGCAAUGGGCGAAAGCCUGACGCAGCCAUGCCGCGUGAAUGAUGAAGGUCUUAGGAUUGUAAAAUUCUUUCACCGGGGACGAUAAUGACGGUACCCGGAGAAGAAGCCCCGGCUAACUUCGUGCCAGCAGCCGCGGUAAUACGAAGGGGGCUAGCGUUGCUCGGAAUUACUGGGCGUAAAGGGCGCGUAGGCGGACAUUUAAGUCAGGGGUGAAAUCCCAGAGCUCAACUCUGGAACUGCCUUUGAUACUGGGUGUCUUGAGUGUGAGAGAGGUAUGUGGAACUCCGAGUGUAGAGGUGAAAUUCGUAGAUAUUCGGAAGAACACCAGUGGCGAAGGCGACAUACUGGCUCAUUACUGACGCUGAGGCGCGAAAGCGUGGGGAGCAAACAGGAUUAGAUACCCUGGUAGUCCACGCCGUAAACGAUGAUUGCUAGUUGUCGGGCUGCAUGCAGUUCGGUGACGCAGCUAACGC